GACGUAGGGGGCCAGCGUUGUUCGGAAUUACUGGGUGUAAGGGGUUCGUAGGCGGUGUGGCAAGUCGGGAGUGAAAUCUCUGGGCUCAACUCAGAGACUGCUUCCGAAACUGCUGUGCUGGAGUGUGGGAGAGGCGCGUGGAAUUGCAGGUGUAGCGGUGAAAUGCGUAGAUAUCUGCAGGAACACCCGUGGCGAAAGCGGCGCGCUGGACCACUACUGACGCUGAGGAACGAAAGCUAGGGGAGCAAACAGG
rnacentral:rRNA from 1 species